rnacentral:rRNA from 1 species
GAUGAACGCUAGCUACAGGCUUAACACAUGCAAGUCGAGGGGUAGCAGGGUAGCAAUACCGCUGACGACCGGCGCACGGGUGAGUAACACGUAUCCAACCUACCGUUUACUCGGGGAUAGCCUUUCGAAAGAAAGAUUAAUACCCGAUAGUAUAAAGAGUUCGCAUGUUCUCUUUAUUAAAGGAUUCCGGUAAAUGAUGGGGAUGCGUUCCAUUAGAUUGUUGGCGGGGUAACGGCCCACCAAGUCUUCGAUGGAUAGGGGUUCUGAGAGGAAGGUCCCCCACAUUGGAACUGAGACACGGUCCAAACUCCUACGGGAGGCAGCAGUGAGGAAUAUUGGUCAAUGGGCGUUAGCCUGAACCAGCCAAGUAGCGUGAAGGAUGACUGCCCUAUGGGUUGUAAACUUCUUUUAUAAGGGAAUAAAACGGGGAACGUGUUCCCCUUUGCAUGUACCUUACGAAUAAGGAUCGGCUAACUCCGUGCCAGCCGCCGCGGUAA